CUCUAGGAAGCGACCAUGAUGUAACUUCACAGACUCUCCAAAAGUCUGAAGUUACAUCAUGGUCGCUUCCUAGAG
ensembl:miRNA MIR4670 microRNA 4670